rnacentral:lncRNA from 1 species
UUCUUAAACAGAAGAUGGCAGAACCUGAAGACCUCUUCUGCCAGAAGGCAGCAGAAAAAAAAAAAAACAAGGGCUGUGGAGGAUUAGUAGCACCUGUGAUCACAUCAAGCCUAUGGAAAUAAUGGAGGCCAUGCUUGCCUAGCUGACUACCAGCCACACAUCCCAGCUUGCUGAGUGGCAGCCCACAGAUCCUGCCAAGAGAAAAGAUCCCAUUUCUCCUCCUCUCCUCAGUGCAGCGUUCAUCCCCAGCUCACUGAAAAGCAUCCUGUUGCACCUCAGUGUGGAAAUCAUCUUUGGUUGGUUCAGGUUUCACCUGCAUCAAGUUUUUUACUGGGAAGCAGCAAGUCUCAAGAUCCAGCUCCAAUGUCACUUGUCACUUGUAAUGUCACUUAUAUACUUGCACCGUAGUCUGACAGCCUAAGUUAAAUAGUUAGGAUUAUCAGAACAUGAAUGUUUAUGUUUUCUAUCCUGAUUUACAUACAACCACUCCUGUAACUUCAGAAAACAUUAUCAACAGAGUUUGAUUAAAAUAUGAACAUUUAAAGAAGAGUUAUCUCAAGAUAAUAUACUUCAAGCUAUUGAGCUGCAUUCAUUGAAAGAAAAGGUGCAGGAUGCUUCUGUUUACUGUGCACAGAGGCCAUGUAUAGGCAAAGAGAAGGAGAUCGUUUCCAACCAACUAGAAAAUGUUAUAAUGGUGUAUAAAAGUCAGAAAAUCUUAAGAAAUAAAUCAACUUCAGAAGUUAAAUAGGAUUUGCUG